GCAUGGAUAGCUCAGAGGGCAGAGCGGUGGGGCGUUUACUCAUGCGACUCGGGUUCGAUCCCCGGUCGAUGCA